ACCGCGAGAACCAGUGUGAACACAUGGCAAAAUUGUAAUUAUGUGGUAUUUAUUAAAAAACACGCGCCCCCCUUCUCACCACUAUGUUCAGGAUCUACAGCCUUUAAUAUUAGGGUUUUAUUCUUCAGCUUCAGCUUUUAAUAUUGGGGUUUCAUUCAUCAGAUCAGAUUGUUGUAUACAUUGACGACGACGGCCGACGGCCGACAGCAUUCACGUAACUCACCGGAGUUCACGACGGCGACAUCUGGGCACGAUGUUCCGGCGGCAUUCACAACGAACAACCCACCAUUUACACCCUCUACAUGGCAUCAUCUGAUUCAUCACGUGUCGAUCCUCACACAUCUGAUGUUCCUCCUCAUACAUUCUCUGAUAAUCCACCUCAUACAUCUGAUGCUGACAUUGUUGGUCCAUCUGCUGAUAAUAGAGUUGAUAGUCACAAGAUACCUACAAAUACAGAACAUCAAGAGUUGAAAAUCAUUUUAUUUGUGACUAAAGGGAUUAUGUUGACUGUAAAUGAGCAAACAAAGAGUCUUGGGUGGCGGACAACUACAAAAAAAAUAGGGGAGGUCAUUGUGUGAGAUUGGCAAUGGAAGAACAAGCCGACAACCAGGGAGGCAUCGCUGGAGUAUAUGCAGCUUUUGGCGCUGUUGAAAGACACCCGAAUGAAGACGGGUCAAUAUGGGUUGGGUCGGCACUCGGAAAAAUAAGUCGACUUUCAAUGUUAAACCCGUUAGAUAGGAUUUGUGUGUCACAAGCGGGGACCCGUCGAGUGGCUUUGUAAUGACCUGGAACGGUUGGGCUACACCUAAAGCCAAUAUGUUAGCAUGGAAAGGCGUCGAAGGCAGGUUACUGAUAUAGACAGAGCUAUAAAAAAGGGGAAUUCAUAUCAGCGACUCAUUGUGCCCAGGUUGCGGAUACGAGCAAGAAACUGUUGAACACAUCCUCAUUCCGUGUUUGAUGUCGAAAACGCUAUGGUGGAUGGUCAGAGCAUGGCUGGGAGUAAAAGAUUUACAUUCUUACUCAACAGUGGCGAAUAUUCUCUCUUUUUUCGUGGAAGCGGGAUAUUUCUAAGAAGAAGAAAAAGGCAGUCAACUGUAUAUUGAUGGUUACAUUAUGGAUCAUAUGGUCGAGCAGAAAUGAGAAGGUUUUCAAAGUCGUGCAGUGUUCAAAUACUAGAAGACUGGAAUAAGUCAAUGAGUGUACUCUGUUGUGGAUGAAAGUCAUAGCCAAAAUAGAGAAUUUAGUGAUUGAAGAGUGGUACACCAGUGGUGUGAAUGUAAUAGAAAAAAUAGGAGUUUAUAUGUUUACUGUAUGUGUACUUCUCUACUUCAUGUCUAAAGUUAUGGUUUGAAUAUGUGGCAUCUUGUUAUGUUAAAAAAAAUGUCGUUAUAUAUAAAUUGAUAAUGCUCGUGUGCAUUAUGUUGACAA